rnacentral:other from 1 species
AUGGGGCUGGGCGACGCGUUAGGCCGCAUGUUACCCCGGGGCCGAUAGAUACCUCUUGGGGGCCGUCACUGUCGGGGUCGUGGCCUCGAUAUAUGGCCGCCCACCUGCUACGGCGGGCCACGGAGGAGUUGCACGCCGACGGCCGAUCCGGCUCCAUU